UAAGAGCAAAUCUGCCUCCUAUUUGUGU
rnacentral:piRNA from 1 species